rnacentral:SRP_RNA from 1 species
GCCAGGUAUGGUGAUGCAUGCCUGUAAUCCCAGCUACUUGGGAGGCUGAGGCAGGAGAAUCACUUGAACCUGGGAGGCACAGGUUGCAGUGAGCCAAGAUCGUGCCACUGCACUCCAGCCUGGGUGACAGAGUGAGACCCUGUCUCAG